GACGAACGCUGGCGGCGGGCUUAACACAUGCAAGUCGAACGGAAAGGCCCUGCUUUUGUGGGCUGCUCGGUUAGCGAACGGGUGAUUAACACGUGUUUGACCUACCCUUGACUUAGUGAUACCUUCACGAAACUGGGGCUAAUACCGGAUAAGUUCUCCUGCUGCAUUGUGGGGGCUGGAAAUUUUCGGCGGUUGGGGAUGGCGUCGCGGCUUAUCAGCUUGUUGGUGGGGUAGUGGAUUACCAAGGAUUUGACGGGUAGCCGGCCUGAGAGGGUGACCGGCCACAUUGGGACUGAGAUACGGCCCAGACUCCUACGGGAGGCAGCAGUGGGGAAUAUUGCACAAUGGGCGGAAGCCUGAUGCAGAAACGCCGCGUGCGGGAUGACGGCCUUCGGGUUGUAAACCGCUUUCGCCUGUGACGAAGCGUGAGUGACGGUAAUGGGUAAAGAAGCACCGGCUAACUACGUG
rnacentral:rRNA from 1 species